AGGUGGGGGCCGGCAUCGGGAGCGGGGACACGAAGCGGCAGAGGCUGGGGCAGGAGUUGGGGUGCAGGAGGGGUCUGGGGCCAGGGCUGGGCUGAGGCCCGGCCUGGAACUGGGAAGGCCUUGUUCAGGAGCUGGACAACGGGUGGAGGAAAUGGCAGGUGCAGCGGUGGGCAAAGGGCUGGGCAGGGGGCAGAGGAGACCAGGGACAGGGCGGCCUUGAGGCAGCUGGGGCCCUCCAUCUGUGCCUCUCCACUUAACACCUCCUUCCUGGGGGCCCUGUCAGCACCCCCCAGCCUGGCCUGUUUCCCCAGACUCCGGGCCCUCAGGCCAGAUCUGUCCCAACUCCACAUACCCUCGCACCGGCACACCUGGGGCCCGUCCAGGCUGGAGGCAGGUUGCUGGGCCCCCGGUCCAGCCCCUUGCAAACCCUGUCCCACCAGCCAGGUGGCCUCCAGCCCUGCCAAUCCCUUGGCCCAGCCCCUCCCCGCCCCUUCCCCCGCCCCCUCCUCCUCAGGUGAGGCAGCCAGGCCUAGCAGGCCCCUCUCGCUGCCGCUGCCUCUGCCUCCGGGGCCCGCUGCGCCGCUGCGGGGCCACCAUGCUCCUGCCCAGGCCUGGAGACUGACCCUAAACCGGCACCGUCUCUCAGCUCCGCCCCCACCUGCCGGACCCCAGGGUAAGGAGCAGGGUCCUCAGGUUCCUGUCCCCCGGACAUGGGUCCCCUCACCCCUACCCACCCUAAUGCCCACUUCCCAACAGAGGUGCUCUGAGAGGGGCCAGUCGGACUUCUCUCCAAGGACCUCAGAGUUCCAGCCCCCGCUUCUUCAGACUCCCAAGAUCGGGUCCCGGGUUCCUCCUCCCUCCAACCCAGGAGUCCAGGCCCCUGUGCCGCCCCUCCCUCAUAAGAAGCAGUCCUGGCCCCCAAACCUCUCUUUUCCCAGGACCCAGGAGCUGAGGCCUCCAGCUCUCCGCCCUCAGACCCGGGAAUUCAGACCCCUCAGUCCGCUCUCCACCCCGGCCCAGGCCCAGGGUCCCCCGGCGCUAUAA
rnacentral:lncRNA from 1 species